rnacentral:rRNA from 1 species
AACGAACGCUGGCGGCGUGCCUAACACAUGCAAGUCGAGCGAGAAAGUUCCUUCGGGAAUGAGUACAGCGGCGCACGGGUGAGUAACACGUAGGUAACCUACCCUCGAGCCCGGAAUAACCCGCCGAAAGGUGGGCUAAUGCCAGAUAGGACCACGGUGGCCACGGCCACCGCGGUGGAAGAUGGCCUCUGUUCACAAGCUAUUACUCGAGGAUGGGCCUGCGCGCCAUUAGCUAGUUGGUGAGGUAACGGCUCACCAAGGCGAUGAUGGCUAGCUGGUCUGAGAGGAUGGCCAGCCACACUGGGACUGACACACGGCCCAGACUCCUACGGGAGGCAGCAGUGGGGGAUAUUGCGCAAUGGGCGAAAGCCUGACGCAGCGACGCCGCGUGGGUGAUGAAGGCCUC